rnacentral:rRNA from 1 species
AUGGAGGCACUCAUUUCUGCAGUUCUUGGUGAUCUUGCAAGCAGAGCCAUAUCCUUCGUGGUUGAUAAGUGCCGUGAGCAGAGAACCGCGGAAGAGGAUCUGCAGAGGCUCCAGCAGCUUCUUCUGAGGUUACGUGCCAUCGUCGAGGAGGCCGAGGGGCGGCAUGUCACUAACCGAGGGAUGAUCUGUCAGGUUAGCUUGAUGACAAAGCAAAUGUUCAGAGGGUACUACCUUCUCGACACCUUCAAGUGCAGAGAGAAGAAAGACAACAAUGAGGAGGUGAGUGUUUCCUCAUUCGUUCAAUCCAAAUUUAAUCCGGCUAAGCGUUUUCGCCGCCUUUCUAGCAACACUCAGAUUGAGAGCAUGGUAAUUGGUAGAGAAAGCAGCAAAGAGUUGAAACAGGCCGUUCUUAUCCUAGAAAGAAUGGUUGCUGAUAUGAAGGAGUUUGUUAUAUUUCUGAUGAGUUACCCUCGCAUGCACCGCCAACCUUAUGGUGCAUAUUUAUUUUUGGACAAGUUUAUGUUCGGCCGCCAAAUGGAGAGGGAACAAGCCAUCAGCUUCUUGCUACAAGCUGAGCCUCUAGGGGCUGAGAGAUUGGGUGUCCUUCCAAUCGUCGGUCCUGCACUUAUUGGAAAGAGCACUUUUGUGGAACAUGUUUGCGAUGAUGAGCGUGUGCGCAGUCAUUUCUCCUUGAUCUUGCUCUACAGCGGAAAUGACCUUAAAGGUGAAACUGCGAUGACUUUUAGGGAACAUUGCCUGAUCAAGCAUGAAAAUAUUGUUGCAUCAGGUAAAGAAAGGUCUUUGGUUGUCAUUGAGCUCUCGGGGGACAUGGAUGAAGGAGCGUGGAAGAGGCUGCUGCACUCUGCUGAAAGAUGCAUGACACGUGGGAGCAAAAUCAUAGUGACCAGCCGAUCAGAGAAGAUGGUCAGGUUUGGAACAACGGAAGCCAUCAAGCUAAGUUGUUUGUCUAAAGAAGCUUACUGGUAUUUCUUCAAGAUGCUCGUGUUUGGAAGCACGGACCCGGAGGAGCACCCAAGGUUAGCAUCCAUAGCCAUGGAGCUAGCACCCAGGAUGUGCGGAUCUUUCAUCUCCGCAUAUGUUGUUGCUGCCUUACUGAGAGAAAAUUUCAGUACCCGGUUCUGGUGCAGGCUUCUCAGAAACAAUAGUAAGUACAUGCAGAAGAAUGCAUUGUUGGCUGGUGAAUAUUUUGACGAGGAUAAGCCUCGGUACGUUAUGACCAUUACUGGAACACGGCGAGUUUCUGAGGAUCAUAAGCUCUUUCUGCUCCAUCAUAGUUAUCAAAAAGGGCCUGCUGCUCAGGGCGAAGUUCCGAGGAUAACACUGGUGGAUGUUCUAUUCAGUAGAUGGAGCACUGUGCCACGGGGCAAAUUUGAGGUCUUGUGCUGGAGGUCUCUCAUACCACCAUACUACAGCUAUAUAAAUGCUUGUGAGUUUGUGCGGCACAAGAACACAACACCGUAG